GCCUGAUCCAGCCAUGCCGCGUGAGUGAUGAAGGCCUUAGGGUUGUAAAGCUCUUUCAGUGGGGACGAUAAUGACGGUACCCACAGAAGAAGCCCCGGCUAACUUCGUGCCAGCAGCCGCGGUAAUACGAAGGGGGCUAGCGUUGUUCGGAUUUACUGGGCGUAAAGCGCACGUAAGCGGAUCGUUAAGUCGGGGGUGAAAUCCUGGAGCUCAACUCCAGAACUGCCUUCGAUACUGGCGAUCUUGAGUCCGGAAGAGGUGAGUGGAACUCCUAGUGUAGAGGUGGAAUUCGUAUAUAUUAGGAAGAACACCAGUGGCGAAGGCGGCUCACUGGUCCGGUACUGACGCUGAGGUGCGAAAGCGUGGGGAGCAAACAGGAUUAAAUACCCUGGUAGUCCACGCCGUAAACUAUGAGAGCUAGCCGUUGGGAGAUUUAUCUCUCAGUGGCGCAGCUAACGCAUUAAGCUCUCCGCCUGGGGAGUACGGUCGCAAGAUUAAAACUCAAAGGAAUUGACGGGGGCCCGCACAAGCAGUGGAGCAUGUGGUUUAAUUCGAAGCAACGCGAAGAACCUUACCAGCCCUUGACAUGGCAGGACGAUCUCCGGAGACAGAUCUCUUCACUUCGGUGACCUGCACAC
rnacentral:rRNA from 1 species